rnacentral:rRNA from 1 species
CCUACGGGGGGCUGCAGUAGGGAAUAUUGGGCAAUGGGCGAAAGCCUGACCCAGCGACGCCGCGUGAGGGAUGAAGGUCUUCGGAUUGUAAACCUCUUUCAGUAGGGAAGAAGCGAAAGUGACGGUACCUAAAGAAGAAGCACCGGCUAACUAUGUGCCAGCAGCCGCGGUAAUACAUAGGGUGCAAGCGUUGUCCGGAAUUAUUGGGCGUAAAGAGCUCGUAGGUCGUUUGUCGCGUCGAUUGUGAAAAUCUGAGGCUCAACCUCAGACCUGCAGUCGAUACGGGCAAACUAGAGUGUGGUAGGGGAGACUGGAAUUCCUGGUGUAGCGGUGGAAUGCGCAGAUAUCAGGAGGAACACCAAUGGCGAAGGCAGGUCUCUGGGCCAUAACUGACACUGAGGAGCGAAAGUGCGGGGAGCGAACAGGAUUA